rnacentral:rRNA from 1 species
GAUGAACGCUGGCGGCGUGCCUAAUACAUGCAAGUCGAGCGAACAGACGAGGAGCUUGCUCCUCUGACGUUAGCGGCGGACGGGUGAGUAACACGUGGAUAACCUACCUAUAAGACUGGGAUAACUUCGGGAAACCGGAGCUAAUACCGGAUAAUAUAUUGAACCGCAUGGUUCAAUAGUGAAAGACGGUUUUGCUGUCACUUAUAGAUGGAUCCGCGCCGCAUUAGCUAGUUGGUAAGGUAACGGCUUACCAAGGCGACGAUGCGUAGCCGACCGGAGAGGGUGAUCGCCCACACUGGAACUGAGACACGGUCCAGACUCCUACGGGAGGCAGCAGUAGGGAAUCUUCCGCAAUGGGCGAAAGCCUGACGGAGCAACGCCGCGUGAGUGAUGAAGGUCUUCGGAUCGUAAAACUCUGUUAUUAGGGAAGAACAAAUGUGUAAGUAACUAUGCACGUCUUGACGGUACCUAAUCAGAAAGCCACGGCUAACUACGUG